UCUCAGACAUCAAAGCAGCCACACGUAGUAUAUACUGCCUAAGAGGAGCUGCGUGCUGCCAAUGCAGCUCCCCUACAGGCAUUCAAACAAAUAAUAAUCAGUGAGUAGCGCUGAUGGAUCAGCACCCAGGGGGAGUUUCUAGCCACUAGGCCUCAUCUCACUGUUGAGAAAGAAGUUAAUAGAGGCGCUCAUAGCAACCAGCACUUCAUACAGAACGUAGCCGGCGUGUGAGCUCCAUGCGGCAAUUGCAGCCAGAUACAUCAUCCUCUCCUACGCUGACCACGUCCAGGGAGUCUCGGAAGAGGUGCAUACACAGCCGGAUUUGUGUGGCGGCUUUCAUUCAUUCAGCCGCAUAUUUGUUCUCUCCACAAACCCUUGCAGCACUAAUUGGGUGAAGCACCCCCAGGGGUAUUGAGUUCACAACAGUGUGGUUUCGAACAUACACACACCAACGCAACGAACCCUCCAGCUCUAUACAAUAUUGGGCCAGCUCUGGACUCACCCGGGGACGCUCGGGUGCAUCAGCCCAAAGGGAGAGGUGCUACCCCAAUGUUUCAGGUCUAAGACCAAUAGUUUCAAACAUAAAAAGAGAAGAACAAGAGAAACAUCUUUCAGCGUGCACACUGGUAUCUUAAUAAUGUUUUAAAAAAAGUUUUAGUGAUAUGCAUUAAAAAAAUUCAGAAAAAAAUUGUGAAAUAUUAAAAAAUAGUGUAUUAGAAAGACAGAA